GCCUGAUGCAGCAACGCCGCGUGAGGGAUGACGGCCUUCGGGUUGUAAACCUCUUUUAGUAGGGAAGAAGGGCUUCUGCUUGACGGUACCUGCAGAAAAAGCACCGGCUAACUACGUGCCAGCAGCCGCGGUAAUACGUAGGGUGCGAGCGUUGUCCGGAAUUAUUGGGCGUAAAGAGCUCGUAGGCGGUUUGUCACGUCUGCUGUGAAAUCCCAAGGCUCAACCUCGGGCCUGCACUGGGUACGGGCAGACUGGAGUGCGGUAGGGGAGAAUGGAAUUCCUGGUGUAGCGGUGGAAUGCGCAAAUAUCAAGAGGAACACCGAUGGCGAAGGCAGUUCUCUGGGCCGUAACUGACGCUGAGGAGCGAAAGCGUGGGGAGCGAACAGGAUUAGAUACCCUGGUAGUCCACGCCGUAAACGUUGGGCGCUAGAUGUGGGGACCUUUCCACGGUUUCCGUGUCGUAGCUAACGCAUUAAGCGCCCCGCCUGGGGAGUACGGCCGCAAGGCUAAAACUCAAAGGAAUUGACGGGGGCCCGCACAAGCGGCGGAGCAUGCGGAUUAAUUCGAUGCAACGCGAAGAACCUUACCAAGGCUUGACAUAACCGAGAACGCCGCAGAAAUGUG
rnacentral:rRNA from 1 species